rnacentral:rRNA from 1 species
AACGUAGGAGACAAACGUUAUCCGGAGUUACUGGGCGUAAAGGGCGUGUAGGUGGUUUCGUAAGUCUGGCGUGAAAUUUUUCGGCUUAACCGGGAAAGGUCGUCGGAUACUGCGGAACUAGAGGACGGUAGAGGCGUGUGGAAUUCCGGGGUGUAGUGGUGAAAUGCGUAGAGAUCCGGAGGAACACCAGUGGCGAAGGCGACACGCUGGGCCGUACCUGACACUGAUGCGCGACAGCAUGGGGAGCAAACAGG